rnacentral:rRNA from 1 species
UACGUAGGGUGCAAGCGUUAAUCGGAAUUACUGGGCGUAAAGCGUGCGCAGGCGGCUUGCCAAGUCAGAUGUGAAAGCCCCGGGCUUAACCUGGGAACGGCGUUUGAAACUGGCAGGCUAGAGUUUGGCAGAGGGGGGUGGAAUUCCACGUGUAGCAGUGAAAUGCGUAGAGAUGUGGAGGAACACCGAUGGCGAAGGCAGCCCCCUGGGCCAAAACUGACGCUCAGGCACGAAAGCGUGGGGAGCAAACAGG